AGCAUGCAUGGCGGGUGUUCAAGCUCGUUUUCAAUCCCUCGUAUCCGUCAGAGAUUCUCAACAUCUCCUCACAGCUACGAUGGACUGGAGACGAGCUUGUUCUGAGAUCAUACCGUUCAAACUUGAUCUGGAUAAUUCCAGCGAAAGGACUAGCUGCUUCUUGAUC
rnacentral:ncRNA from 1 species